GCCGCGGUAGCUCAGUGGUAGAGCAGUGGACUGAAAAUCCUCGUGUCGGUGGUUCAAUUCCGCCCCGCGGCACCA
rnacentral:tRNA from 5 species